rnacentral:lncRNA from 1 species
CUGAAAUUGAUUUCUCAAAAUCAGAAUCAGAUCUCUAAUAUUCUACUACAAUCUCAUGAAAAUGUGCGAGACAUGGCAAACCUAGUGUGCCAGCAACAUGGACUGCUAACUGAAAUCGUGCACAUGGACAGAUUUAUAUUUCCUAAUAAAAUAUCUAAAUAAUCUACUGAGAUGGGCAAGUAUUUUUAAUUUUAUUGUUAGGAAACAAAGUGUAGGACCACUUCUCUCUGAACCAUCGAUAGAGCUUACUGAAGGUCAAGGAACUUGAAGAAGGUAUUUGGGGAACAUGAAGACCGUAUUUAUGGCAACGCAGCUAGCAGGGAGUUUGCAAUCCCAAAUCCUAUCUAAAGUCUCACUUCCAGAGCCUCAGAAGAGGAGGAGUCUAGGUGAAGUCAAAGACCAAGCCCUUAGAUACCAAUGGAGUCUUGUAGAACUUUCUAGUCUACCCUCAGACUGA